AACGAACGCUGGCGGCGUGGAUUAGGCAUGCAAGUCGAACGCGAAAGUAGGAGCAAUCCUACAAGUAGAGUGGCGAACGGGUGAGUAACGCGUGAGAAACCUGCCUUCAACAGGGGGAUAACAUUCCUAACGGGAUGCUAAUACCGCAUGAGACCACGGGAUCGCAUGAUCCUGAGGUCAAAGGUGGCCUCUAUUUAUAAGCUACCGGUUGAAGAUGGUCUCGCGUCCCAUUAGCUAGUUGGCGGUGUAAAAGACCACCAAGGCGACGAUGGGUAGCUGGUCUGAGAGGAUGGUCAGCCACACUGGGAUUGAGAUACGGCCCAGACUCCUACGGGAGGCAGCAGUCGAGAGGCUUCGGCAAUGGGGGAAACCCUGACCGAGCGACGCCGCGUGAAGGAUGAAGGCCCUUGGGUUGUAAACUUCUUUUUGUCAGCGAAGAAAUGCGAUCAGGUGAAUAAUCUGGUCGCUUGACGGUAGCUGACGAAUAAGCUCC
rnacentral:rRNA from 1 species